rnacentral:rRNA from 1 species
GCGGCGGACGGGUGAGUAAUGCUUAGGAAUCUGCCUAUUAGUGGGGGACAACAUCUCGAAAGGGAUGCUAAUACCGCAUACGUCCUACGGGAGAAAGCAGGGGACCUUCGGGCCUUGCGCUAAUAGAUGAGCCUAAGUCGGAUUAGCUAGUUGGUGGGGUAAAGGCCUACCAAGGCGACGAUCUGUAGCGGGUCUGAGAGGAUGAUCCGCCACACUGGGACUGAGACACGGCCCAGACUCCUACGGGAGGCAGCAGUGGGGAAUAUUGGACAAUGGGGGGAACCCUGAUCCAGCCAUGCCGCGUGUGUGAAGAAGGCCUUUUGGUUGUAAAGCACUUUAAGCGAGGAGGAGGCUACCGAGAUUAAUACUCUUGGAUAGUGACGUUACUCGCAGAAUAAGCACCGGCUAACUCUGUGCCAGCAGCCGCGGUAAUACAGAGGGUGCAAGCGUUAAUCGGAUUUACUGGGCGUAAAGCGCGCGUAGGUGGCCAAUUAAGUCAAAUGUGAAAUCCCCGAGCUUAACUUGGGAAUUGCAUUCGAUACUGGUUGGCUAGAGUAUGGGAGAGGAUGGUAGAAUUCCAGGUGUAGCGGUGAAAUGCGUAGAGAUCUGGAGGAAUACCGAUGGCGAAGGCAGCCAUCUGGCCUAAUACUGACACUGAGGUGCGAAAGCAUGGGGAGCAAACAGGAUUAGAUACCCUGGUAGUCCAUGCCGUAAACGAUGUCUACUAGCCGUUGGGGCCUUUGAGGCUUUAGUGGCGCAGCUAACGCGAUAAGUAGACCGCCUGGGGAGUACGGUCGCAAGACUAAAACUCAAAUGAAUUGACGGGGGCCCGCACAAGCGGU